rnacentral:rRNA from 1 species
AUUGAACGCUGGCGGCAGGCCUAACACAUGCAAGUCGAACGAGUGGCGGACGGGUGAGUAAUGGCUGGGAAACUGCCCGAUGGAGGGGGAUAACGACUGGAAACGGUAGCUAAUACCGCAUACCAUCGGAUGUGCCCAGGUGGGAUUGGCUAGUAGGUGGGGUAACGGCUCACCUAGGCGACGAUCCCUAGCUGGUCUGAGAGGAUGACCAGCCACACUGGAACUGGGACACGGCCCAGACUCCUACGGGAGGCAGCAGUGGGGAAUAUUGCACAAUGGGCGCAAGCCUGAUGCAGCCAGGCCGCGUGUAUGAAGAAGGCCUUCGGGUUGUAAAGUACUUUCAGCGGGGAGGCGUUACCCGAAGAAGAAGCACCGGCUAACUCCGUGCCAGCCGCCGCGGUAAUAC